CCCCAGCUGUCCGCCGACCCCCAGUCCCGGCCCCCGCGCCCAUGGCCGCACCCGGACCCCGCGCCUUGCGUGCUGCACUCUGCGGCGGUUGUUGUUGCCUCCUCCUGUGUGCCCAGCUGGUUCUAGCUGGUAAAGGAGCUCGUGGCUUUGGGCGGGGAGCCCUGCUCCACCUGAACAUCUGGCCUGCUGCCCAUGGGGGCUGCAAACACUUGGGACACUGUGAACGCUGUGUGGACAGAGCCCACAACUCCUCCACCUUGAAAGGACAGAGGACUCAGAGGCUACCCUCUUGGUUGCCUUAUGGGCACUGGGGGUGGGACAAACUUUGGCCACCAGUUUCUGGUUCCUGUAGGCACAGGGCAUCAAGCAGGUUUAGCGCUGAUGACUGACUGACAUGUCCUCUCCUGGGCCUGGCACCUGCAGCUGAAAGCCUCCUUCAACCACCUCACGACUCAUCCAGAAGCUGCUGCCUCUUCCCACCAACCCACUCUGGGGUCUACCCUCAAAUAAAGGACACGUUUCCACCCC
rnacentral:lncRNA from 1 species